ensembl:lncRNA
AACCCCAAUCUUUACCACUGAACCUGAACCAUUGAGCUACCACUGCUUCAUGAAAAUUUGAAAUACUGUCUGUGCAGGUGCAUUUCCAGUGUGCAUAAUCUAACACAUUCGCAUUGUUGUACACAACAGGAAACAGUCUCGUUAACAUUUCAUACAGUCCUCUGCCACUUUAUUAGGAACACUUGUACACCUGCUCAUCUGUGCAGUUGACCAAUUAGCCAACCCCAUGGCUUCAGGUAAAGAAACUGGGCGGUUAAAGAUUAAAAGUAGAAGCGACAGCUUGUUGAAUCUUAUCGAAUGUCCAACCGAGUGUCCGGUUUUAGCGAGCAAGUGCUGACUGUAGCCUCAGAUUCCUGCAGCCAGGAGUGGAUCCCAGUGUGGUCUUCUGCCGUUCUAGCCUCCUCAGGGUCCGGCGCGUUGUACAUUCUGAGAUGCUUUUCCUGGUUGUAAAGAGUGGCGAUUUGAGUAAACACAGCGUUCUUGUCAGAUCAAACCAGUCUGGCCAUCGUCCUCUUAGCUCUCCUCGAGAAGCUGUCUUCUCCCACAGAACUCACUUAGAUGUGUUUAUUUGUUCGCUUUUAUGUAUUACAUGAAAAUCUCAGGAGAUCAGCAGGUUCUGAAAUACUCAAACCAGCCUUUCGGGCACUAGUAAGACAAAUGAAUGUUGUCCUCCUUAAGUUACUUUGGUAAGGUUAUUAGGCGAUGAAGGGUGUGGGCGCUCGCUUGUGUGGUGUUCAUCUUUUCUGUCCUUCACCUACUCUCACUCUCUCCUUGGUUGGUUUUCUUUUUUUUUCCUUUUCUUUCAACGGCCCUUCUCUCAUCCGCCCCGAUCCCCAAACAGCUCCUUAAAUAGUAAUUAUUUAUGAUUGAGGCUUUGAGGUAGAAAAACAUUGAGGUGGAUUGUUUGAACAGGCUUUUAGAAACUGCAUGACUUCUCAGUGUGGAUGAUGGGUUUCUUUAUAUUUAUAUAUAUAUAUAUAUCGUUGUUGUCAUUUUGCUUUGGUGACCAGAAGGUCGGGAACAUGAAUCCGAGGUCGGAACCUCGAGCAGGACCCUUAUUAAACCCGCUGCGUGCAUCUACUGACUCUGAGAAAUGAAUCAGAAUAAAAUGACUCAUCGAGUUGUAAAACAAAGGCCGCCUUUAGAUUUUUAUUGUUUCCAACCAACCACAUGCACGCAGACGGCCUCGGAGCUAGACCGAUUGUGGGAAGGGCAUAAACGCGGCUCGGUGAAGCGGGGCGUCUGGGUAAAGGUCCUUAAAGCUGGGAGUUACGGCGUGAAGGAGAAACGGGAAUUCUGUACGGAGUCCAUGAACUAAGGUUUUCCAUUUUCCGUUUACUUUAUAGUGCAUACUACAUAGUGCAGUGAGUAUCACUUUAUAAUCACAAGUUUAAAUGCAGUGCUCCCUCUUUCGUGCUCCCCAGACCUUCUCUUCUUUCUUCACAUCUUCCUGCCAUCUCGAACUCUCCUCCUCUGCCCCUCCCCGAGGCCUUGGAUUGGGCAGGUGGAAGCUAAAGCUGGAAUGCUGGGGAAUGCAGUCAGUCCCACUCAGCAUGCACGUGCAUGACCUACAGAUCACAUCCCACUACUCGCAUGGCAAGCUGAUAUAGAAGAAGCGUGAGAUGAGCUAAGACUGGGACAGGAAUAGAGAGCAAGAUGCUGAGUGUUCCGUGGACUGGGGAGUAUUCACACACACACACACACACCACUAGAGGUGAAGGCCAGCAUCUGUGCUGCUAAGGAGGGGCAGGUCAGAGGUCAAGCUGAGUGUUUACUUUGGGUUUUGCAGCUCCUGGCUGGUGUGUGAGCAGACCAAGCAGCGAUGAUUUCCAGUAAACACGGAACUGCUUGUCUGACAGGUUCAGCACGCGGUUAUCUGAUUUAACCUGCUGAAUUUCAUUCCUACAUUCGUAAUAAAAGGCACAGAGGCCAAAGAGGCCACUCCUUCUUCAUUGGGUUCUGAUGGUCAUAAAGGCCACUCCUUCUUCAUUGGGUUCUGAUAGGCGCAAAGGCCACUCCUUCUUCAUUGGGGUCUGAUGGUCAUAAAGGCCACUCCUUCUUCAUUGGGUUCUGAUGGUCAUAAAGGCCACUCCUUCUUCAUUGGGUUCUGAUGGUCAUAAAGGCCACUCCUUCUUCAUUGGGUUCUGAUGGUCAUAAAGGCCACUCCUUCUUCACUGGGUUCUGAUGGGCACAAAGGUCACUCCUUCUUCAUUGGGUUCUGAUGGGCGCAAAGGCCACUCCUUCUUCAUUGGGUUCUGAUAGGCGCAAAGGCCACUCCUUCUAUAUUGGGUUCUGAUGGUCAUAAAGGCCACUCCUUCUUCAACUGGAAUGACAUGCACAGGAUUACACUGUCUUCCUGUUUAGAAAUGACAAUCACCGAAGCCACACCUCUUUUAAUGAGUGGCACAGGGACGGAAAUAAGUUAUUAAUAAAAUAUGAGUAAUGAAAUGACUUUAGCAGUAGAUGCCGUCCCAGCUUCAGUCUGAUAUAAUCACUGUUGUCUGUCAUCCUGACACGACACCGAUUCAAACUGCUGAAUCGUUCCACCCUGUUUUCCUUUCUCCUCAUGCUGUUUACUCUUAGUAUUUUUGGGCAAGUGUCACUUUUCUCUGCAUCUAUAUAAACCCUUGAAUUUAGCGACUGACCACAUAGAAGCGAACAAACACCUUAAUUAUACACCUCCCUCAUGGAAUCCCUCCACCACACACAAAUCUCACACGCUGCUUCCUCACAUAUUAUUAUGUCUUCGCGGCAGCCACUUUCACUACCCGUUUUACACGGCAGUUUUCCAUGCACGCAAACACGCCGGCAAAUAAAUCUCACUUGUAAAGUGUCAGGUCAUAAAGAUCGGUCAAAAUAAACGAUCCCCUCGAGCAGUCUUGUUCCGUCUCUGUUUUUUUGUUUUUUUUAAAGCCUUAAUUGAAAUAGUAGCUGGGUGUGGGAGCGGCAGGCUUCGGGAUUUCUUCCUGCAACACUGAAGCCUCAGAAUCUUUGUUAUAAGUGACGUUGCAGCCUGAAAAUACACUGUGUUGUAAGUGUUAUAUAUGAUAAAUGUUAUAUGUGUGUGUGUGUGUGUGUGUGUGUAUGUAUGUGUAUAUAUAUAU